ACGCUGGCGGCAGGCCUAACACAUGCAAGUCGAGCGGAUGACGGGAGCUUGCUCCUUGAUUCAGCGGCGGACGGGUGAGUAAUGCCUAGGAAUCUGCCUGGUAGUGGGGGACAACGUUUCGAAAGGAACGCUAAUACCGCAUACGUCCUACGGGAGAAAGCAGGGGACCUUCGGGCCUUGCGCUAUCAGAUGAGCCUAGGUCGGAUUAGCUAGUUGGUGGGGUAAUGGCUCACCAAGGCGACGAUCCGUAACUGGUCUGAGAGGAUGAUCAGUCACACUGGAACUGAGACACGGUCCAGACUCCUACGGGAGGCAGCAGUGGGGAAUAUUGGACAAUGGGCGAAAGCCUGAUCCAGCCAUGCCGCGUGUGUGAAGAAGGUCUUCGGAUUGUAAAGCACUUUAAGUUGGGAGGAAGGGCAGUAAGUUAAUACCUUGCUGUUUUGACGUUACCGACAGAAUAAGCACCGGCUAACUCUGUGCCAGCAGCCGCGGUAAUACAGAGGGUGCAAGCGUUAAUCGGAAUUACUGGGCGUAAAGCGCGCGUAGGUGGUUUGUUAAGUUGGAUGUGAAAGCCCCGGGCUCAACCUGGGAACUGCAUCCAAAACUGGCA
rnacentral:rRNA from 1 species